UCAAACUUGGUCAUUUAGAGGAAGUAAAAGUCGUAACAAGGUUUCCGUAGGUGAACCUGCGGAAGGAUCAUUAAAAUCAAACUACCUGAAGCUGUGAUAUGUAGGCAUCCCAGAACCAUACCUUGCAUAGCAACAUGGCAGUGGACCAAGAGACCUAUCUAGUAUCUAGCAUGACGGUCCCACCCUUUGUGAACCCUUCGCUUCAGCAGCAUCCCCAUGGGGUUGUAAGCCUGCUGAUAGCUCUUUUUUAAACUCCUUCUCUGAUACAAUGUAUCUGGGAAUUCCAAGGGUUAAAAGUAAAUUCUUAUAAAACUUUCAACAACGGAUCUCUUGGUUCUCGCAUCGAUGAAGAACGCAGC
rnacentral:misc_RNA from 1 species